CGCCGGUGGUCACUCACUCGCUGCGACAACCAGGAGGAAGGGAGAUGUCUGAUCGAACGGGGACUUGCAAUAAGGCGCAUGUUUCGAUGAAAUCUGUUGGAGGGUCAUGAGUCUAAUCCGGAAGCCUACUAUGAUGCAUUGCUCUCUUAAAAACUGUUCCUCGGCUCUCUUCGCUCUUUUUCCGGUUUCUCUUAACCAUGGCCGGGUAAUCUCCCUGGUCGAGUCAGUCGGGCAGUGUCUUCUCCUGCUUGACUGGCUGCAGUUUGAACCGGACGGUCUGUUUAAAUAAGAAUUUAAAUCUAGGACAACGCUUCCUUUGAGCGGCCCGGACAAUCCUUAAGGGUUGCCACUCCAUCGAGGCUUAAACGAGGAUGACGCGGAGGUGUUGCCCAUUGAGGGGUUUUGGUGACAAGGAGUCACUGAACAAAACGCUAAACCAAAUGAAAAAAAAAUAUUAAAAAAGCAUCAAACGACACGCGAUAGGUUCCGGUGGUCAUCAACUAUUCAAGGUGGUAGACCUGUCAAUGUAAAAGACAGGGUAAGGCCCAUUCCCAGCAACGUCAACCUGCAGAAAGAAAAAGGCCAAUUUCCAUGGCCUUCAGACUCGAAGGUCGCGGAGAUAAUUACGUAAAACUGGCAUGGUGUGGUGCAGAGGUUGGGUGAGAAUGACACGUGUUUCAACAUUAUCAAGCAGACCCAUCCCCGGCAAAGUCACCUGCAGAAGGAAAGGCCAGUAUACAUUUCAAUCGAAGGCCAUGAAUAUCAUUACGUAAAAGGUGUCAUGCAGUGGUAAGAGGUUGGGUGAGAACGGGACGUUUUGCAUCAUUAUCAAGAAGGUAAAAUAGCCACAAGGCUUAAGAGAAGGGGUGAGAAAAAGUCGUAUAAAAGGCAAGAGAAAAGUCGACAGUAUCUCGAGCUCUCUCGAGCGAGUAUCUCCGACACGGCAACAACUGCAUUCUUCGUGGUAAUAUCAGUUCGCAAUCAUGGUUAAUUAUGGUGUUGUGUUGCUGUUGGGUGUUGUAUCGUUGAUGUCGACCACGAGAGAAAAUCUUACAAAAGGAAAGAGAAAGGGCAACAGAAGUCAAUCGAGUGAGCAUCUCCGACCUGCAACUAACUACAACUGCAUGUUUCGUCGUAUUAUCAGGUCGCAAUUACGGUUAACUAUGGCGUCGUGCAGCUAUUGGUUGUUUCGUCGAUAUCUGGGUGGUCCACUGGUGUGCUGUUGCCCCUGGGUAUGGCGGAUACCAAACCGCAACGCCGCCGCCUUACUACACAACAACAUAUGCAACGACCAGUUACUACACCGAGGCUGCAGUUAGGUUUACAGUUGCACCACCAAGGGUCCAGGUACACCACAGCUCAUUCUGCUCCGAGCUACUACACCGAAGGCCAGAAGUUUUAUUCUUCCCCGAGCUACCCUACCAAAUCGCAUGUGCACAUCUCCGAGGCUCCUAAGUACUAAACCACCAAGGCACCUGAGACUACACAACUACGUAUGCUGUCCCAAUUACUACACCAAGGCUCUAAAGUACAACAGCAUUAAGGCACCGGACUACUACA
rnacentral:lncRNA from 1 species